GUGCAGCCGGCGCGAAACCUUCGCAAUGCGGGAAACCGCGACGAGGGGACUCCCAGUGCCUACGCUCAGCGUAGGCUGUUCCCGAGCCUAGAAAGCUCGGGGAGUAAGGGCUGGGUAAGACGGGUGCCAGCCGCCGCGGUAAUACCCGCAGCCCGAGUGGUGGCCACUAUUAUUGGGCCUAAAGCGUCCGUAGCCGGCCCGGUAAAUGCCUGGGUAGAUCGUGAGGCCUAACCUCACGAAUUCCGGGUAGACUGCCGGGCUAGGGGACCGGAGGAGGGAGAGGGUACUCCAGGGGUAGGGGUGAAAUCCUGUAAUCCCUGGAGGACCACCGGUGGCGAAGGCGCUCUCCUAGGACGGGUCCGACGGUGAGGGACGAAAGCCAGGGGAGCGAACCGGAUUAGAUACCCGCGUAGU
rnacentral:rRNA from 1 species